GAUGAAGAACGUAGCGAAAUGCGAUAAGUAGUGUGAAUUGCAGAAUUCAGUGAAUCAUCGAAUCUUUGAACGCACAUUGCGCCCUUUGGUAUUCCUUAGGGCAUGCCUGUUCGAGCGUCAUUUAAACCUUCAAGCUAAGCUUGGUGUUGGGUGACUGUCCGCUUCACUGCGGACUCGCCUCAAAAUUAUUGGCGGCCGGUACAUUGGCUUCGAGCGCAGCAGAAACGCGAACUCGGGCCCGUCGUAUUGGCUCCCAGAAGCUAUCUUCACAAUUUUGACCUCGGAUCAGUUAGGGAUACCCGCUGAACUUAAGCAUAUCAAUAAGCGGAGGA
rnacentral:misc_RNA from 1 species